rnacentral:rRNA from 1 species
CCUACGGGUGGCAGCAGUGGGGAAUAUUGGACAAUGGGGGGAACCCUGAUCCAGCGACGCCGCGUGAGUGAAGAAGUAUUUCGGUAUGUAAAGCUCUAUCAGCAGGGAAGAAAGAAAUGACGGUACCUGACUAAGAAGCCCCGGCUAACUACGUGCCAGCAGCCGCGGUAAUACGUAGGUGGCAAGCGUUAUCCGGAUUUACUGGGUGUAAAGGGAGCGUAGACGGCGAUGCAAGUCUGAAGUGAAAGGCGGGGGCCCAACCCCCGGACUGCUUUGGACACUGUAUGGCUUGAGUGCAGGGGAGGUAAGUGGAAUUCCUAGUGUAGCGGUGAAAUGCGUAGAUAUUAGGAGGAACACCAGUGGCGAAGGCGGCUUACUGGACUGUAACUGACGUUGAGGCUCGAAAGCGUGGGGAGCAAACAGGAUUAGAUACCCCUGUAGUC